GCGGGUCGAUCUUUUUACGACAGUGUUUUGAUAUUUACAGUAACGUUGUCGACAUUCUCUAUCAACGUUCACGAUUACAACGGCGCACCUACAUUAACACAUACGUAUACGGAGUAUGUUUGUAUAGGUUGAUUAAUAGCUAAAUUCAAGAAUUCAAUUCCUUGUGCAUUUUUAUGCAGCAAUUCAGUUGAAUUUAGUUUCUUGAGAUGAUGUCAAAUUUCUAUCUUAUAUUUAUUACUUGCAUGGAUAUAAUGUCUCUGAAGAAUGAUAUGAACCUAUGUAUUGAAUAGCACAAAAGACCACCAAAAUACCUGCAGAAUUUUUAGAAUGCCAAUGUGAAUUUUCAAUAAAAUAGAAUCAAGAAAACAAACUUACAGCAGUAUGAAAAUGUAUAACCACCCAAUGAUUGACUACUACAAUUAGCCAUUGAGCAUUCUUAUUUAAAUUUUUAAUAAUAAAGAUAAACAUAUUAAAAUGAAACUGUAAUAUGAGAAGAAAAGAAAGGCAUCAUAUUCACUCAAGUACGUAAGAUAUAAAAACCUUGAAUUAUAAUUUAUUACAGAGCUAUAACGUUUUUACUAUAAAAUUAGUGAUUUUCAAAAUUUUUUUCAUUAAUAUUCAGAU